rnacentral:rRNA from 1 species
GGGGAAUCUUGGACAAUGGGCGCAAGCCUGAUCCAGCCAUGCCGCGUGAGUGAAGAAGGCCUUAGGGUUGUAAAGCUCUUUUGGCAGGGACGAUAAUGACGGUACCUGCAGAAUAAGCCCCGGCAAACUUCGUGCCAGCAGCCGCGGUAAUACGAAGGGGGCUAGCGUUGUUCGGAUUUACUGAGCGUAAAGCGCACGUAGGCGGAUUGUUAAGUCAGGGGUGAAAUCCCGGAGCUCAACUCCGGAACUGCCUUUGAUACUGGCAAUCUUGAUUCUGGAAGAGGUUGGUAGAAUUCCCAGUGUUGAGGUGAAAUUCGUAUAUAUUGGGAAGAAUACCAGUGGCGAAGGCGGCCAACUGGUCCAGAUCUGACGCUGAGUUGCGAAAGCGUGGGGAGCAAACA